rnacentral:rRNA from 1 species
CACGUAGUUAGCCGGGGCUUUUUCUUAUGGUACCGUCAUUAUCUUCCCAUAUAAAAGAACUUUACGACUCGAAAGCCUUCAUCGUUCACGCGGCGUCGCUGCAUCAGAGUUCCCUCCAUUGUGCAAUAUUCCCCACUGCUGCCUCCCGUAGGAGUUUGGACCGUUUCUCAGUUCCAAUGUGGCCGUUCACCCUCUCAGGCCGGCUACCCAUCGUCGCCUUGGUGGGCCGUUACCUCACCAACUAGCUAAUGGGACGCGAGUCCAUCUUAGACCACCGGAGUUUUGAUCAUUAGUGCAUGGGCACCUAUGAUUUCAUUUGGUAUUAAUCCCGGUUUCCCGAGGCUAUCCCAAUGUCUAAGGCAGGUUACUCACGUGUUACUCACCCGUCCGCCGCUAAUCCAUCUUAUCUUCACCCCGAAGGGAUCUGUCAAGAUUUCAUCGCUCGACUUUGCAUGUGUUAAGCGCGCCGCCAGCGUUCGUCCUCGAGCCUAGGACUCGAAACUACUCUCGACGACUACGG